rnacentral:rRNA from 1 species
ACGCUCGACACCUACGGAGGCAGCAGUGGGGGAUAUUGCACAAUGGGGGAAACCCUGAUGCAGCAACGCCGCGUGAAGGAAGAAGGUCUUCGGAUUGUAAACUUCUGUCCUCAGGGAAGAUAAUGACGGUACCUGAGGAGGAAGCUCCGGCUAACUACGUGGCCAGCACGCCGCGGUAAUCUGAGGCGGGCUGGACAAGGC